rnacentral:rRNA from 1 species
CAGUCGCCGCGGUAAAACGUAGGUGGCAAGCGUUGUCCGGAAUUAUUGGGCGUAAAGGGCUCGCAGGCGGUUUCUUAAGUCUGAUGUGAAAGCCCCCGGCUCAACCGGGGAGGGUCAUUGGAAACUGGGAAACUUGAGUGCAGAAGAGGAGAGUGGAAUUCCACGUGUAGCGGUGAAAUGCGUAGAGAUGUGGAGGAACACCAGUGGCGAAGGCGACUCUCUGGUCUGUAACUGACGCUGAGGUGCGAAAGCGUGGGGAGCAAACAGGAUUAGAUACCCGUGUAGUCCCUGUCUCUUAUAC